CAUUUUUUACCACCAAGUUUUGUGGGCGACCGGUUAUAAAAUGGCUUUGAUUCGAAAAACUUCUAUUGGCCUAUCGAUACCAGCUCAAACACAAUGAAAAGUAUUCUAUUAUUCACCGUUAUUGCCUCAAUAACUGUACAGUUAUGCGUUUGUUCCCAUAAGAAAUUAACGUCAACAACCGAGGCGGCAGAAAGCACAACACAAGAAGCAACUGUCACUAGCCCUAUGAUGGAUGCGGCGCCAAAUAUUGAGGUUAAAUCUGAAGUCAUACCCGCAAGCCCACAGAUUGCCGGUACAGCGACGUAAACUUAAAAAUUUAGAAUGUGAUGUAACAAUGUAAAUCGACUCGAAUGACUCGAAUAAAAAUACCAUACCCUGCUAA